UACGGAGGGUGCAAGCGUUGUCCGGAAUCACUGGGCGUAAAGGGCGCGUAGGCGGCUCAUGAAGGCUGUAGUGAAAGUCCGGGGCUCAACCUCGGAUCGGCCGUGGCGACUCGUGGGCUGGAGCACUGUAGAGGCGGGUGGAAUUCCGGGUGUAGCGGUGGAAUGCGUAGAGAUCCGGAAGAACACCAGUGGCGAAGGCGGCCCGCUGGGCAGUGGCUGACGCUGAGGCGCGACAGCGUGGGGAGCAAACAGG
rnacentral:rRNA from 1 species